rnacentral:rRNA from 1 species
UGCAUGAAGUCGGAAUUGCUAGUAAUCNCGGAUCAGCAUGCCGCGGUGAAUACGUUCCCGGGCCUUGUACACACCGCCCGUCACACCAUGGGAGUCGGAAAUGCCCGAAGUCAGUGACCUAACCGAAAGGGAGGAGCUGCCGAAGGUGGAGCCGGUAACUGGGGUGAAGUCGUAACAAGGUAUC